GACGAACGCUGGCGGCGUGCUUAACACAUGCAAGUCGAACGGAAAGGCCCUGCUUUUGUGGGGUGCUCGAGUGGCGAACGGGGGAGUAACACGUGAGUAACCUGCCCUUGACUUUGGGAUAACUUCAGGAAACUGGGGCUAAUACCGGAUAGGAGCUCCUGCUGCAUGGAGGGGGUUGGAAAGUUUCGGCGGGCGGGGAUGGAUUCGCGGCUUAUGAGCUUGCUGGUGGGGUAGGGGCUUACCAAGUCUUUGACGGGUAGCCGGCCUGAGAGGGUGACCGGCCACAAUGGGACUGCGGGACGGCCCAGUCUCCUACGGGGGGCAGCAGUGGGGAAUAUUGCCCAAUGGGCGGAAGCCUGAUGCAGCAACGCCGCGUGUGGGAUGACGGCCUUCGGGUUGUAAACCGCUUUCGCCUGUGACGAAGCGUUAGUGACGGUAAUGGGUAAAGAAGCACCGGCUAACUACGUG
rnacentral:rRNA from 1 species